UACAAUGUACUCAUUUGAGUACACAUUUAAAUGUGCUAAAAGAUUUAAGUUUACUCAGAUUAACUUAAAGUUAAGUUAAGGUAAUUAAACAGAAAAACGCCCCCAUUUACAUGUAAGUCCGCCUUUUUUCAGCUUGCUGUUGGUGAAUCAGGCAAAAAUGAUUUUCUUGUGUUCGGGUAGCCAUUUGUUUUAACUUUUGUAACCUGUUGUUGCAAAUUACUUUUUACUUUUCAUUUAAGGCUUUUUGCAAAAGUAAACUUGUCUUUUGUGAAGUGGAACCUUUGUUAAACUAAAUGGACAAACAUUUUCUUCCUCAUUAUGCUAUUUUUGAGUAGCAUGUACACCAGUCUGAUGGGACUUUUUCAUCUUCCGUCCAAUUUUGAGAGCUGCAGCCAAACAUUAAGAAAUCAGCUCACUGUGUGAAACUGAUGACAGGUUCAUGGUUACUGUGAGGAGCUGUUUGUGUUUCAUCAAAACUUUAUAUACAGCUUGUACAGUUUUUAAGAUGUUUUCUUGAUAUGUUAUAUUUUAAGUAAAUACUUCUGAAGUGAAAUAAAGAAAAACUAUUUUAUAA